AAAAAACAAAAGGGCUUAAAUUGGAUACCUAAGCACUCAAAAUCGAAGAAGGGCGUUGUUACCAGCGAAAUUCUCUGGCUAAUUGGAAACAAAUAUUAACCCAGAGGUUCCCGAAUAGAGCAAUCUUAAAAACUAUCUGGUAAAUUCAUAAUCAGAAAAGAGAAAACUCAGUGAAUUGAAACAUCUAAGUAACUGAAGGAAAAUAAAGCAAACGCGA
rnacentral:rRNA from 1 species